ensembl:lncRNA
CGAAAUUUUUAUUUCAAUUAUCUAUUAAUUAUAUUGACAUUUGGGGUACUCACGGCUGGCAAGACAGCAUGACCUUUUGAUUUCCAGAAAAGCAAAAUAAAUUUUUUUUGCUCACCUGCAGUAAAUGCUAAUGCAUUCAGCCCUUUAAAAUUAGUUUAACAAUAUUUGGCAGAAUGAUAGUUUUGAUAAAAUAUUAAAUUUUGUACCACGCUGAUGAACUAGUUUCACGUAUAAAAGGUAGAGUGAGCAGUUCAUUAAAUACCAUAAGUAACAUCACAUAGCGGUUUUAUAUCACAUGCCUGAAGGUACUGAUAUGAUAGGCCAAUUUCUAAACACCGUCACACAACACUGACGAACAUUUGGGACACAGAGCAUUAAUCUGAUGUAGGUAGAGAUCAGUAGGUGCUUCAGUUUAGCAUCUAUAAUAGACAUAACUUGAAUUCCACUUUGUCAGUCCUAUAGAGUGUCACAGUCCAAAGGACCUGAGUGGUCGCUUGGACACUGUCCCAGACCACAAGGGUAACUGUGCUGUACGCACCAUCCGGCAGACUGGUGAAGUGCUCCUCCACACAGUUCAGGAGUCCACCGUUCAGGUGUCCGCCGCAAUGAAGGGGAAACUAAAUUCAGCUUCAAAAACCUGCUUCUCAACAGGAAUAUAACAUGUGGGAUAUUAACGUAAGAAUACACACUUUCCUUUCUUACAUGAAACAGUCCUUGACCGAUGACAAAAAUUCAAGUCUUCUGGUCUGUCCUCUGAAAAUUUUAAAAAGAAAAGCUUCCAAAGUGUGGCUCAGUGCUCCACCGUGGAGUCAAGUGGUGGAGCUUUGCAGGCAGGACGAGAGAAAGAAAAGCAACAAAAAUUAUUCUCAGGUUUCAGAAAGGUGUGGCUCUAGGAUGUGCCUCUGGCAAUAGGGGUGACUGGAGCUUGGUGAAAGGGUCCACGUCCUUCUGUGUGGAAUUUAAAAUAACGCUAAAUACUGCAGUGUGGUAUUUCCCCCAUAACAGGAACCACAGAAUUUAGAAGAUGCCUCUGUAAGUACCAAAAGCCACAAAGGUGAGCUCAGAAGCGAGCAAUGGAAGUGUUAACCCUUGACAACCAGAUGUAAUAGUAACAGAAGUACUGGAUGUGUGGGGAGCCGGGAUACUUGAGGCAUGGGUUAGAUUACAGCAUCAUCUCCCGGGCAUCAGCUACUUGCCUUUGCUCACUGUGGUAAUAACGUAAGGUACUGUCGCCUUUUAAAAAAGGAAACACACAUCUGGGUGUUUGGAGGGAAAUACUGUAACUGUGAUGUUCUCUUUGUAGCAAACUGGGUCAGAGCAAAUGUGUACAUAGGAAUGGAGAGAAAAGGGAGAAAGAACAUUGGGCAGAUGGUGGGAAGAUUAGCAGUGGUAAAUAGAAAUGGAAGCUAAGUUCCAAUCUAACCACUGUGAAUUCCACCUCCCAUUCAGGAGUCCUGUGAUCUUCAAACUAAUUCCUAGCCUCCUCCGGUUUUAUCAGAGCCUGAAUGACCUGAUGGAGAAAAAAAAACAAAAAACAAACAACAACAACAAAAACCAAAAAAAAUAAAAACAACAACAACAAGAUUUCCAGAAAGUUAAACAAAUUAAAAUGUCAGCCCGCUACGGACACUGUGUUCCACCCAGGAAGACAGGGAUGGUGAAACUAUGAGUGUGGGUGAAGUUCAUAGGGUCAAGUCCUAGGAAGGGCAGACUCAAUCCACGGCUAUACAGUGGUUCCUUUUCCUGACCUUACUACUUUAUGGAAAGUCUAGUUUCUUCAGUUGGGCUUCUCGUUCAUUUGGAUCAGUUUGCUUUGGUUUGAUUUGGCUGGUUGGUUUUGGUUUUGGGUUUGCCUUGGAGGCCUGGGGGCAGGGGGUGGUAUACAAGGAUAGCAAAUGCAAAAUAGUCAAAAACAGUUUAUAUUAAUUCAAUUGUAUCAAAAACCAUCUUCACCAAUGUUGUGAGUCCACCAACAUUAAAAGGGCAUGUUUCUUUGGAUUAAAAUAAAAAACAAACAAAAACUACCAUAAAACCCACUUUAAAUACGACGACACAUAUAUUAAUAACAAAAUAAGAUGUUUACCAUACCAUUUAAAAAAGAAUUAAAUACAUGUACAAUUUUUUUAUGAUAUCCUUGGAAACUGUAAGGCAGAGUCAUAUAAAAUGAGGAGGUAUAAAUUUAAAAAUGGAAUGAAUAUGACCAUAUCGUUGAAAAAUAAUAGUUCACUAAAUCACACUGAAGUGGAAACCAAUGGUUUCUUUGGAAAGUCAGUUGUGUUGGAAUUCGGUGACGAAAACCUUUGAGGCAACCGUGAAAGUUUCUGACAGGCUGCAGUGAAGACCCUGGAAGAUGUAAUAUGGGACAUCGCCUAGGGAGGCUGCAAGAGACCAGUAGAGCUAGUCACAUGGUCUACACACACUCUGCCCCUACCAUGACUUCAAGCGCCCCAUACACAGGACACAAAGCUACAGGACUUAAUGACUUCCGGGCUAAGUUUCAGUCUCGCUUUGAACGUGUGCCCUCCUUAAAUCCCUCCUAGUCUUCCCUCUUCGAAUGGAAACGUUUACUCUAUACCCUGGCCAUAUAUGAUUUGUGAUUUUACAGAAGCUCAUGGCUGUGAGUUUUCUCUGGCUCUCAAACAAGAGUUUCAGCUCUGCCUUCUGACCAACGCCAGAACUGUUGCGACUACAGGGCUUUUAGAGACUGGCUACUUAUAUUUUGCACAGUGAGAUGGGCAUUAGCCUUUUGGGACUCAACACACAGAAGGCUAUGCAUGGUGUAUUAGUCAGGGUUCUCUAGAGUCACAGAACGUAUGGGAUGUCUCUCUAUAUUGAGGGAUUUUAUUGUGAUGACUUACAGUCUGUAAUCCAAUUUCCCCAACAAUGGGCAGCUGUGGAUGGGAAGUCCAAGGACCUAGUAGUUGCUCAGUCCCACGAGGUGAGUUG